rnacentral:rRNA from 1 species
GACGAACGCUGGCGGCGUGCUUAACACAUGCAAGUCGAACGGAAAGGCCCUGCUUUUUUGGUAUUCUCGAGUGGCGAACGGGUGAGUAACACGUGAGUAACCUGCUCUUGACUGUGGGAUAACUUCAGGAAACUGGGGCUAAUACCGGAUAGGAGCUCCUGCGGCAUGGUGGGGGUUGGAAAGUUUCGUCGGUUGGGGAUGGACUCGCGGCUUAUCAGCUUGUUGGUGGGGGAGUGGCUUACCAAGGCUUUGACGGGUAGCCGGCCUGAGAGGGUGACCGGCCACAUUGGGACUGAGAUAGGGCCCAGCCUCCUACGGGAGGCAGAAGUGGGGAAUAUUGAACAAUGGGCGGAAGCCUGAUGAAGCAACGCCGCGUGCGGGAUGACGGCUUUCGGGUUGUAAACCGCUUUCGCCUGUGACGAAGCGUGAGUGACGGUACUGGGUAAAGAAGCACCGGCUAACUACGUG